UGAACGCUGGCGGCGUGCCUAAUACAUGCAAGUCGAGCGAACAGAUAAGGAGCUUGCUCCUUUGACGUUAGCGGCGGACGGGUGAGUAACACGUGGUUAACCUACCUAUAAGACUGGGAUAACUUCGGGAAACCGGAGCUAAUACCUGAUAACAUUUGGAACCGCAUGGUUCUAAAGUGAAAGAUGGUUUUGCUAUCACUUAUAGAUGGACCCGCGCCGUAUUAGCUAGUUGGUAAGGUAACGGCUUACCAAGGCGACGAUACGUAGCCGACCUGAGAGGGUGAUCGGCCAAACGGGAACUGAGACACGGUCCAGACGACUACGGGAGGCAGCAGUAGGGAAUAUUCCGCAAUGGGCGAAAGCCUGACGGAGCAACGCCGCGUGAGUGAUGAAGGGUUUCGGAUCGUAAAACUCUGUUAUUAGGGAAGAAAAAACGUGUAAGUAACUGUGCACGUCUUGACGGUACCUAAUCAGAAAGCCACGGCUAACUACGUG
rnacentral:rRNA from 1 species